rnacentral:rRNA from 1 species
UACGUAGGGCGCGAGCGUUGUCCGGAAUUAUUGGGCGUAAAGAGCUCGUAGGCGGCUUGUCACGUCGGGUGUGAAAGACCGGGGCUUAACUCCGGUUCUGCAUUCGAUACGGGCUAGCUAGAGUGUGGUAGGGGAGAUCGGAAUUCCUGGUGUAGCGGUGAAAUGCGCAGAUAUCAGGAGGAACACCGGUGGCGAAGGCGGGAUCUCUGGGCCGAUACUGACGCUGAGGAGCGAAAGCGUGGGGAGCGAACAGGAUUAGAACCUACCGUCGAGUCCAAGCCAGUCUCGU